UACGAAGGGGGCUAGCGUUGCUCGGAAUCACUGGGCGUAAAGCGCACGUAGGCGGAUCUUUAAGUCAGGGGUGAAAUCCUGGAGCUCAACUCCAGAACUGCCUUUGAUACUGAGGAUCUCGAGUCCGGGAGAGGUGAGUGGAACUGCGAGUGUAGAGGUGAAAUUCGUAGAUAUUCGCAAAAACACCAGUGGCGAAGGCGGCUCACUGGCCCGGUACUGACGCUGAGGUGCGAAAGCGUGGGGAGCAAACAGG
rnacentral:rRNA from 1 species